rnacentral:piRNA from 1 species
UGGUAAGGAAUAUGGAUAACUCACUGC